rnacentral:rRNA from 1 species
GACGAACGCUGGCGGCGUGCUUAACACAUGCAAGUCGAACGGAAAGGCCCUGCUUUUGUGGGGUGCUCGAGUGGCGAACGGGUGAGUAACACGUGAGUAACCUGCCCUUGACUUUGGGAUAACUUCAGGAAACUGGGGCUAAUACCGGAUAGGAGCUCCUGCUGCAUGGUGGGGGUUGGAAAGUUUCGGCGGUUGGGGAAGGACUCGCGGCUAUCAGCUUGUUGGUGGGGUAGUGGCUUACCAAGGCUUUGACGGGUAGCCGGCAUGAGAGGGUGACCGGCCACAUGGGGACUGAGAUACGGCCCAGACUCCUACGGGAGGCAGCAGUGGGGAAUAUUGCACAAUGGGCGGAAGCCAGAUGCAGCAACGCCGCGUGCGGGAUGACGGCCUUCGGGUUGUAAACCGCUUUCGCCUGUGACGAAGCGUGAGUGACGGUAAUGGGUAAAGAAGCACCGGCUAACUACGUG